ensembl:lncRNA
GGGGGAAUGUUUUUAAACUGAGAAGGGAUGUUUAGGUUGGAUAUUAGGAGGAAGUUGUUGACACUCAGGGUGGUGACGCACUGAACAGGUUGCCCAAGGAGGCUGUGGAUGCCCCAUCCCUGGAGGCAUUCAAGGCCAGGCUGGAUGUGGCUCUGCGCAGCCUGGUCUGGUGGAUGGCGAUCCUGCACAUAGCAGGGGGCUGGAAUCAGAUGAUCAUUG